AGAUGAACGCUGGCGGCAGGCCUAACACAUGCAAGUCGAGCGGUAGAGAGGUGCUUGCACCUCUUGAGAGCGGCGGACGGGUGAGUAAUGCCUAGGAAUCUGCCUGGUAGUGGGGGAUAACGCUCGGAAACGGACGCUAAUACCGCAUACGUCCUACGGGAGAAAGCAGGGGACCUUCGGGCCUUGCGCUAUCAGAUGAGCCUAGGUCGGAUUAGCUAGUUGGUGGGGUAAUGGCUCACCAAGGCGACGAUCCGUAACUGGUCUGAGAGGAUGAUCAGUCACACUGGAACUGAGACACGGUCCAGACUCCUACGGGAGGCAGCAGUGGGGAAUAUUGGACAAUGGGCGAAAGCCUGAUCCAGCCAUGCCGCGUGUGUGAAGAAGGUCUUCGGAUUGUAAAGCACUUUAAGUUGGGAGGAAGGGCAUUAACCUAAUACGUUAGUGUUUUGACGUUACCGACAGAAUAAGCACCGGCUAACUCUGUGCCAGCAGCCGCGGUAAUACAGAGGGUGCAAGCGUUAAUCGGAAUUACUGGGCGUAAAGCGCGCGUAGGUGGUUCGUUAAGUUGGAUGUGAAAGCCCCGGGCUCAACCUGGGAACUGCAUUCAAAACUGUCGAGCUAGAGUAUGGUAGAGGGUGGUGGAAUUUCCUGUGUAGCGGUGAAAUGCGUAGAUAUAGGAAGGAACACCAGUGGCGAAGGCGACCACCUGGACUGAUACUGACACUGAGGUGCGAAAGCGUGAGAGCAAACAGGAUUAGAUACCCUGGUAGUCCACGCCGUAAACGAUGUCAACUAGCCGUUG
rnacentral:rRNA from 1 species